AACGAACGCUGGCGGCAUGCCUAACACAUGCAAGUCGAACGAGACCUUCGGGUCUAGUGGCGGACGGGUGAGUAACGCGUGGGAACCUGCACUUCAGUGGGGGAUAACGACGGGAAACUGUCGCUAAUACCGCAUACGCCCUACGGGGGAAAGAUUUAUCGCUGAAGGAUGGGCCCGCGUCGGAUUAGCUAGUUGGUGAGGUAACGGCUCACCAAGGCGACGAUCCGUAGCUGGUCUAAGAGGAUGAUCAGCCACACUGGGACUGAGACACGGCCCAGACUCCUACGGGAGGCAGCAGUGGGGAAUAUUGGACAAUGGGGGAAACCCUGAUCCAGCAAUGCCGCGUGAGUGAUGAAGGCCUUAGGGUUGUAAAGCUCUUUCGGUGGUGACGAUGAUGACGGUAACCACAGAAGAAGCCCCGGCUAACUCCGUGCCAGCCGCCGCCGUAACAC
rnacentral:rRNA from 1 species